rnacentral:rRNA from 1 species
CAAUAGCGUAUAUUAAAGUUGUUGCAGUUAAAAAGCUCGUAGUUGGAUUUGUGGCGUACGGUGUGUUCCGGGCACUUGUUGUCUGAGUAACCUACUGUUGCCAUCCUUGGGUGGAACCUGUGUGGCAUUAGGUUGUCGUGCAGGGGAUGCCCAUCAUUUACUGUGAAAAGAUUAGAGUGUUCAAAGCAGGCUUAUGCCGUUGAAUAUAUUAGCAUGGAAUAAUGAGAUAGGACUUUUUUGCUAUUUUGUUGGUUUGCGCAAAGAGGUAAUGAUUAAUAGGGACAGUUGGGGGUAUUCGUAUUCCAUUGUCAGAGGUGAAAUUCUUGGAUUUUUGGAAGACGAACUACUGCGAAAGCAUUUACCAAGGAUGUUUUCAUUAA